GCUUGCGUCUCGAAUGACUAGGCUCGCUCAAAGCGGCGAUCGACGAAGGAGGGAGAGAGUUUCUUUUGCCCGAAAGGGAGGGGGAAAAGAGGACUCGGCGCUAGGGCUAUAACGCCUCCGGCGGUGAACGACGGUGACGACAACGUCUUGGUUGAUGAACGGCGGCGGCUGGUCUCACCAAUGACAGGGGGCACACGUCCCAGGGAUUUUUUUCUUUCGUGCAAGAGAAGAGAAGAAGGGGGGGUUUAACCCCACGGCUGAUAGCAACUCUGGUGACGCCUAAGACGGGGCAGGGGAUCCGUCGUUGAGGAAGGAGAUGGGAAGGAGAGAACCCCUGUUUCUGUUGAGGAAAAGCCUUGGGUUUCAGUUACUGGACCAAACCAAAAAAAUAAAAUAAAAAAAAAAAUAUUUUUUCUUUGUACCCCCUUUCCUCCCAUUUUGCACCCCAUUCUCUUUAGGCUUAAGCCCAUCCUGUCCGAAAUAUCCUUUCUUGCCUACGCUCCCUAUUUAUGCUACAUCUCACCCCCAUUUAGUUUGGGCUUAAGUCCAGACUAUUAUGAAAAUGGCUUAGACACCCCAUUUACUUAUAUAAGCACCUCCGCACCCUUUUUUUAUUUAUUUAUUAUUUUAUUUUAUUUUAUCCUUUUACUUUUUAUUUUAUUUUCAUUUUUAUUUAUUUAUUUCUCUUUUUAUUCUCUUUUUAUUUUUUUAUUUUUUUAUUUUCCUUUUCAUUUUAAAUGUAUAUCUACUUUUUAAAUAUAUAAAUAUUAAAAACAAUAAAAAUAAUUUUAAAAAGACUAAGCAUUCUUGUGACCGUGCUCGUCAUCCUAGUGCUUAAUACAUUUAUCUUUUUUUUUAAAAAAAAAUAAACGUUAGAAAAUAUAUAUACAAAAAUAAUUUUAAAA
rnacentral:lncRNA from 1 species